GGACAUGGCCUCAAACAUCUAUACCCAACAAGCAACCCAAAGCUAUGGGGCCUACCCAACUCAGCCUGAGCAGGGCUACUCCCAGCAGAGCAAUCAGCCUUAUGGGCAGCAGAGUUAUGGUGGCUACGGCCAGUCUGCAGACACUUUGGGCUAUGGCCAGAGCAGCUACCAUAGUUCGUACGGACAGACCCAGAACAGCUAUGGCACACAGUCAGCUCCCCAGGGAUAUGGCUCAGCUGGUGGCUAUGGCAGUAGCCAGAGUUCUCAGUCGUCUUAGAGGCAACAGUCUUCGUACCCUGGCUAUGGCCAGCAGCCAGCUCCUAGCAGCACCUCAGGAAGUUAUGGUAGCAGUUCUCAAAGCAGUGGCUAUGGGCAGUCCCAGGGUGGAGGCUGUGGCCAGCAGUCUGGCUAUGGUGGGCAGCAGCAAGGCUAUGGGCAGCAGCAGAGCUAUAACCCGCCUCAGGGCUACGGGCAGCAGAACCAGUGCAGCAGUGGCAGCGGCGGCGGAGGGGGUGGCGGAGGGAGCUACGGCCAAGAUCAGCCCUCCAUGAGCAGUGGUGGCGGCGGCGGUGGUUAUGGCAACCAGGACCAGGGUGGUGGCUAUGGGGGAGGCCAGCAGGACCAUGGGGGCCGUGGCCGGGGUGGUGGUGCUGGUUACAACCGCAGCAGCGGUGGCUAUGAACCCAGAGGUCGUGGAGGUGGCCGUGGAGGCAGCGGCGGCAUGGGCAGAAGUGACCGUGGUGGCUUCAAUAAAUUUGGUGGCCCUCGGGACCAAGGAUCAUGUCAUGCCUCUGAACAGGAUAAUUCAGACAACAACACCGUCUUCGUGCAAAGGCUGGGCGAGCAUGUUACAAUUGAGUCUGUAGCUGAUUACUUCAAGCAGAUUGGUAUCAUUAACACAAAUAAGAAAACAGGACAGCCCAUGAUAAUCUGUACACAGACAAGGAAACAGGCAAGCUGAAGGGAGAGGCCACGGUAUCAUUUGAUGACUCACCUUCCGCCAAAGCAGCUAUUGACUGGUUUGAUGGUAAAGAGUUCUCUGGGAAUCCUAUCAAGGUCUCAUUCGCUACUCGGUGAGCAGACUUCAGUCGGGGUGGUGGCAAUGGUUGUGGAGGCCGAGGGCAAGGAGGACCUCUGGGCCGUGGAGGCUAUGGAGGUGGCGGCAGCGGCAGUGGUGGCCGAGGAGGAUUCCCCAGUGGCGGCGGCGGCGGCGGAGGACAGCAGCGAGCAGGGGACUGGAAGUGUCCUAAUCCUACCUGUGAGAACGUGAACUUCUCUUGGAGGAAUGAAUGUAACCAGUGUAAGGCCCCUAAACUAGAUGGCCCAGGAGGGGGUCCAGGAGGCUCUCAUAUGGGGGGUAACUAUGGAGAUGAUCGUCGUGGUGGCAGAGGAGGCUAUGAUCGGGGUGGCUACUGAGGCCGAGGGGGCGACUGUGGGGGCUUCAGAGGGGGCCGGGGUGGUGGGGACAGAGGUGGUUUCAGCCCUGGCAAGAUGGACUCCAGGGGUGAGCACAGACAGGAUCGCAGGGAGAGGCCGUACUACCCUGGCUCCUGA